rnacentral:rRNA from 1 species
GACGAACCGUGCGAACGUUAUUCGGAAUCACUGGGCUUAAAGCGCGUGUAGGCGGGACGGCACGUCGGCCGCUGAAAUCCCCCGGCUCAACCGGGGAAGGGGCGCCGAUACGACCGCCCUGGAGGGGCGUAGGGGGACCUGGAACUUCCGGUGGAGCGGUGAAAUGCGUUGAGAUCGGAAGGAACGCCAGUGGCGAAGGCGAGUCUCUGGACAUUUCCUGACGCUGAGGCACGAAAGCCAGGGGAGCAAACGGG